rnacentral:rRNA from 1 species
UACGUAGGGGGCAAGCGUUGUCCGGAAUCAUUGGGCGUAAAGAGCGCGUAGGCGGCCCUGUAAGUCCGCUGUGAAAGUCAAGGGCUCAACCCUUGAAUGCCGGUGGAUACUGCAGGGCUAGAGUCCGGAAGAGGCGAGUGGAAUUCCUGGUGUAGCGGUGAAAUGCGCAGAUAUCAGGAGGAACACCAAUUGCGAAGGCAGCUCGCUGGGACGUAACUGACGCUGAGACGCGAAAGCGUGGGGAGGCAAACAGG